rnacentral:rRNA from 1 species
UACGUAGGGGGCUAGCGUUGUCCGGAAUCAUUGGGCGUAAAGAGCGUGUAGGCGGUCCGGUAAGUCCGUUGUGAAAGUCAGGGGCUCAACCCUUGAAUGCCGGCGGAUACUGUCGGGCUAGAGUCCGGAAGAGGCAAGUGGAAUUCCCGGUGUAGCGGUGAAAUGCGCAGAUAUCGGGAGGAACACCGAUGGCGAAGGCAGCUUGCUGGGACGGUACUGACGCUGAGACGCGAAAGCGUGGGGAGCAAACAGG